GAGUUUGAUCAUGGCUCAGAACGAACGUUGGCGGCAUGGAUUAGGCAUGCAAGUCGCGGGGUCCCAGCAAUGGGAGACCGGCGUAAGGGGCAGUAAGGCGUGGGUACCUACCCCGGGGUCCGGGAUAGCCGCCAGAGAUGGCGGGUAAUACCGGAUGACCUCGAGAGAGCAAAGGUCCGCCGCCCCGGGAGGGGCCCACGUGAUAUUAGCUAGUUGGCGGGGUAACGGCCCACCAAGGCGACGAUGUCUAGCGGGUGUGAGAGCACGACCCGCGCCACUCGCACUGAGACACUGGCGAGACACCUACGGGUGGCUGCAGUCGAGGAUCUUCGGCAAUGGGGGCAACCCUGACCGAGCGAUGCCGCGUGCGCGACGAAGGCCUUCGGGUUGUAAAGCGCGAAAGUGGGGAGAAAGGCGAAAGCGUGAUCCAUCCACAGUAAGCUCGGGCUAAGUUCGUGCCAGCAGCCGCGGUA
rnacentral:rRNA from 1 species